UACGGAGGGGGCUAGCGUUGUUCGGAAUUACUGGGCGUAAAGAGCGUGUAGGCGGCCAGAUAGGUCAGCUGUGAAAACUCGAGGCUCAACCUCGAGAUGUCGGCUGAAACCAUCUGGCUAGAGUCCGGAAGAGGAGAAUGGAAUUCCCGGUGUAGCGGUGAAAUGCGCAGAUAUCGGGAAGAACACCCGUGGCGAAGGCGGUUCCCUGGGACGGUACUGACGCUGAGGCGCGAAAGCGUGGGGAGCGAACAGG
rnacentral:rRNA from 1 species